UGAGAGUUUGAUCCUGGCUCAGAACGAACGCUGGCGGCAGGCUUAACACAUGCAAGUCGAGCGCCCCGCAAGGGGAGCGGCAGACGGGUGAGUAACGCGUGGGAAUCUACCCAUCACUACGGAACAACUCCGGGAAACUGGAGCUAAUACCGUAUACGUCCUUCGGGAGAAAGAUUUAUCGGUGAUGGAUGAGCCCGCGUUGGAUUAGCUAGUUGGUGGGGUAAAGGCCUACCAAGGCGACGAUCCAUAGCUGGUCUGAGAGGAUGAUCAGCCACAUUGGGACUGAGACACGGCCCAAACUCCUACGGGAGGCAGCAGUGGGGAAUAUUGGACAAUGGGCGAAAGCCUGAUCCAGCAAUAUUACGUGAGUGAUGAAGGUUUAUUGGCUGUAAAACUCUUUUAAUUGUUGAAAUAAUGAUAUAUACAAUUGAAUAAGUCCCGGCUAAUUCCGUGCCAGCAGCCGCGGUAAUACGGGGGGGACAAGUGUUAUUCAGAAUAACUGGGCGUAAAGGGCAUGUAGGUGGCUAAGUAUAUAUCAAGGGAGUAAAAUUAAAGCUUAACUUUGAUUUCUUUUGGUUAUUUUAGCUUGAGUUUUUUAGAGGAUUGCGGAAUUUUGCAUGGAGCGAUAAAAUGCGUUGAUAUGCAAAAGAACACCAAUGGCGAAGGCAGCAAUCUGGGAAAUAACUGACGUUGAGAUGCGAAAGCAUGGGGAGCAAACAGGAUUAGAGACCCUGGUAGUCCAUGCUGUAAACGAUGAGUAUUCGUUUUUGGUAUUUUAUCAGAAACUUAGCUAACGCGUUAAAUACUCCGCCUGAGAAGUACGACCGCAAGGUUGAAAUUCAAAGGAAUUGACGGGGAUCCGCACAAGCGGUGGAGCAUGUGGUUUAAUUCGAUGCAAC
rnacentral:rRNA from 1 species